GUCCCUAUCUGCCGUGGGCGCUGGAGAACUGAGGGGGGCUGCUCCUAGUACGAGAGGACCGGAGUGGACGCAUCACUGGUGUUCGGGUUGUCAUGCCAAUGGCACUGCCCGGUAGCUAAAUGCGGAAGAGAUAAGUGCUGAAAGCAUCUAAGCACGAAACUUGCCCCGAGAUGAGUUCUCCCUGAGACUUUAAGUCUCCUGAAGGAACGUUGAAGACGACGACGUUGAUAGGCCGGGUGUGUAAGCGCAGCGAUGCGUUGAGCUAACCGGUACUAAUGAACCGUGAGGCUUAACCUUACAACGCCGAAG
rnacentral:rRNA from 1 species